rnacentral:RNase_P_RNA from 1 species
CCAGGGGGCCGGGCAGCUGCGGGUCGAAAGACGCGAGGAAAGUCCGGGCUCCACGAAACAAGGGUGGCGGGUAACACCCGCCGGGGGUGACCCUAGGGAAAGUGCCACAGAGAGUAUACCGCCGAUGGAGGCUAAACCUCACAGGCAAGGGUGAAAGGGUGCGGUAAAAGCGCACCGGGGCUGCUGGUAACAGCGCCCGCAUGGCAAACCCCACCCGGAGCAAGGCCAAAUAGGGGCCUCGCGCCGCGAGGCAGGAGCGUUUCGUUCCGAGAGGUCCGGGUUGGCUGCUUGAGCGCGGGGAGCAAUCCCUCGCCUAGAUGAAUGGCUGCCGCUGCAAGGCUGGUGUGCAAACAUACCGCUUGCAGGACAGAACCCGGCUUACAGGCCCCCUGGCACA